GUUUACUGCCAUGCCACCCUGAACGUGCCUGAUCCCAUUUGGUCUCGGAAGCUAAGCAGGGUCGGGCCUGGUUAGUACUUAUGGGAGACCACCUAGAAAGAUUGGAUGCUGUAGGCG
rnacentral:rRNA from 1 species